CCCAUGGUUUGCCCUCCGAAUCUGUGGCAGCGGGCACCUGUUCACACAGCUGAACAAGCUCGCUCACGCCAAACCUGCAACACAAAACACCGGGAGUCAUCGCCACUCUGCAUGGAGGCUGUCAUCAUGUGCCGAUGCUCUGACCCGUGCAAACUCCUGCUGCAGGGCCAAGGCCACCACAGCGUCGCUCCCUGGGGCAGGGAGCCCAGGCCCAUCCCCUGCGGAGAAGCACCAAAGAUCUGUGAGGACAAAGUCCAAAAACAAGCUCACCCUCAGACCUCUGCUCUGUCGGCUCUUGCAGACCAUGGGGAGCAGAUGAAGCACAAAUAAACCAGAACGCAGCUCCACACUGCAGGCCAGGCUGGAAUACAGUGGCGUGAUCUCGGCUCAC